rnacentral:rRNA from 1 species
CGGCUUACACAUGCAAGUCGAGCGGAGAUGAGGUGCUUGCACCUUAUCUUAGCGGCGGACGGGUGAGUAAUGCUUAGGAAUCUGCCUAUUAGUGGGGGACAACAUUCCGAAAGGAAUGCUAAUACCGCAUACGUCCUACGGGAGAAAGCAGGGGAUCUUCGGACCUUGCGCUAAUAGAUGAGCCUAAGUCGGAUUAGCUAGUUGGUGGGGUAAAGGCCUACCAAGGCGACGAUCUGUAGCGGGUCUGAGAGGAUGAUCCGCCACACUGGGACUGAGACACGGCCCAGACUCCUACGGGAGGCAGCAGUGGGGAAUAUUGGACAAUGGGGGGAACCCUGAUCCAGCCAUGCCGCGUGUGUGAAGAAGGCCUUAUGGUUGUAAAGCACUUUAAGCGAGGAGGAGGCUACUGAGACUAAUACUCUUGGAUAGUGGACGUUACUCGCAGAAUAAGCACCGGCUAACUCUGUGCCAGCAGCCGCGGUAAUACAGAGGGUGCGAGCGUUAAUCGGAUUUACUGGGCGUAAAGCGUGCGUAGGCGGCUUUUUAAGUCGGAUGUGAAAUCCCCGAGCUUAACUUGGGAAUUGCAUUCGAUACUGGGAAGCUAGAGUAUGGGAGAGGAUGGUAGAAUUCCAGGUGUAGCGGUGAAAUGCGUAGAGAUCUGGAGGAAUACCGAUGGCGAAGGCAGCCAUCUGGCCUAAUACUGACGCUGAGGUACGAAAGCAUGGGGAGCAAACAGGAUUAGAUACCCUGGUAGUCCAUGCCGUAAACGAUGUCUACUAGCCGUUGGGGCCUUUGAGGCUUUAGUGGCGCAGCUAACGCGAUAAGUAGACCGCCUGGGGAGUACGGUCGCAAGACUAAAACUCAAAUGAAUUGACGGGGGCCCGCACAAGCGGUGGAGCAUGUGGUUUAAUUCGAUGCAACGCGAAAAACCUUACCUGGCCUUGACUACUA